CUCUGCUCUCAUGAGACCUCACUUGGAGUAUUGUGUGCAGUUCUAGUGUCCUCAACAUAAAAAGGACAUGGAACUGUUGGAACAAGUCCAGAGGAGGGCCACAAGGAUGAUCAGGGGACUGGAGCACCUCCCAUAUGAAGACAGGCUGAGAAAGUUGAGCCUGUUCAGCCUGGAGAAGAGAAGGCUGUGUGGAGACCUCAUAGCAGCCUUCCAGUAUCUGAAGGGGGCCUACAAGGGUGCUAAGGAGGGAGUCUUCAUUAGGGACUGUAGUGAUAGGACAAGGGGUAAUGGGUUAAAACUUAAACAGGGGAAGUUUAGAUUGGAUAUAAGGAAGAAGUUCUUUACUGUAAGAGUGGUGAGGCACUGGAAUGGGUUGCCCAGGGAAUUGUGAAUGCUCCAUCCCUGGAGGUGUUCAAGGCCAGGCUGGACAGAGCCUUGGCCUUGGGUGGCAUGGUUUAGUGUGAGGUG